UACGUAGGGGGCAAGCGUUGUCCGGAAUCAUUGGGCGUAAAGAGCGCGUAGGCGGCCCUGUAAGUCCGCUGUGAAAGUCAAGGGCUCAACCCUUGAAUGCCGGUGGAUACUGCAGGGCUAGAGUCCGGAAGAGGCGAGUGGAAUUCCUGGUGUAGCGGUGAAAUGCGCAGAUAUCAGGAGGAACACCGGUGGCGAAGGCGGGUCUCUGGGCAGUGAACUGACGCUGAGGAGCGAAAGCGUGGGGAGCGAACAGG
rnacentral:rRNA from 1 species